CAGUCGCCGCGGUAAUACGAAGGGUGCAAGCGUUAAUCGGAAUUAUUGGGCGUAAAGGGUGCGUAGGCGGCUUGACAAGUCUUGUGUGAAAUCUAUGGGCUCAACCCAUAGUCUGCACGGGAAACUGUCGGGCUUGAGAAUGGGAGAGGUGAGUGGAAUUUCCGGUGUAGCGGUGAAAUGCGUAGAUAUCGGAAGGAACACCUGUGGCGAAAGCGGCUCACUGGACCAUUUCUGACGCUGAUGCACGAAAGCUAGGGGAGCAAACAGGAUUAGAUACCCCCGUAGUCCCUGUCUCUUAUAA
rnacentral:rRNA from 1 species